UUAGGGAUACCACUUGGAAACAGGUGCUAAUACCGGAUAAGAAAGCGGAUCGCAUGAUCAGCUUUUAAAAGGCGGCGUAAGCUGUCGCUAUGGGAUGGCCCCGCGGUGCAUUAGCUAGUUGGUAAGGUAAAGGCUUACCAAGGCGAUGAUGCAUAGCCGAGUUGAGAGACUGAUCGGCCACAUUGGGACUGAGACAGGCCCAAACUCCUACGGGAGGCAGCAGAU
rnacentral:rRNA from 1 species